rnacentral:rRNA from 1 species
GCUCAGUAACACGUAGUCAACAUAACCAAAGGACGUGGAUAAACUCGGGAAACUGAGGCUAAACCGCGAUAGAUCAAGAUACCUGGAAUGGUUUUUGAUCAAAAUCUAUAAGGCCUUUGGAUUGGACUGCGUCCGAUCAGGCUGUUGGUGAGGUAAUGGCCCACCAAACCUGUAACCGGUACGGGCUCUGAGAGGAGGAGCCCGGAGAUGGGUACUGAGAAAAGGACCCAGGCCCUAUGGGGCGCAGCAGGCGCGAAACCUCUGCAAUAGGCGAAAGCCUGACAGGGUUACUCUGAGUGACUUUCGCUAAGAAAGUCUUUUGACACCUCUAAAAAUGGUGUAGAAUAAGGGGUGGGCAAGUCUGGUGUCAGCCGCCGCGGUAAUACCAGCACCCCGAGUGGUCGGGACGAUUAUUGGGCCUAAAGCAUCCGUAGCCGGUUUUACAAGUCCUCCGUUAAAUCCAGCUGCUUAACAGAUGGGCUGCGGAGGAUACUAUAAGACUAGGAGGCAGGAGAGGCAAGCGGUCUCAKUKGGGUAGGGGUAAAAUCCGUUGAUCCAUUGAAGACCACCAGUGGCGAAGGCGGCUUGCCAGAAUGCGCUCGACGGUGAGGGAUGAAAGCUGGGGGAGCAAACCGGAUUAGAUACCCGGGUAGUCCCAGCUGUAAACGAUGCAGACUCGGUGAUGGACUAGCUUUAAUGCUAGUCCGGUGCCGCAGGGAAKCCGUUUAGUCUGCCGCCAGGGUAGUACGGUCGAAAGACUGACAYUUAAAGGAAUUGGCGGGGGAGCACCA